rnacentral:rRNA from 1 species
CUACGGGGGGCAGCAGUGGGGAAUAUUGCACAAUGGGCGCAAGCCUGAUGCAGCCAUGCCGCGUGUAUGAAGAAGGCCUUCGGGUUGUAAAGUACUUUCAGCGGGGAGGAAGGGAGUAAAGUUAAUACCUUUGCUCAUUGACGUUACCCGCAGAAGAAGCACCGGCUAACUCCGUGCCAGCAGCCGCGGUAAUACGGAGGGUGCAAGCGUUAAUCGGAAUUACUGGGCGUAAAGCGCACGCAGGCGGUUUGUUAGGUCAGAUGUGAAAUCCCCGGGCUCAACCUGGGAACUGCAUCUGAUACUGGCAAGCUAGAGUCUCGUAGAGGGGGGUAGAAUUCCAGGUGUAGCGGUGAAAUGCGUAGAGAUCUGGAGGAAUACCGGUGGCGAAGGCGGCCCCCUGGACGAAGACUGACGCUCAGGUGCGAAAGCGUGGGGAGCAAACAGGAUUAGAUACCCGUGUAGUC